UGGGCUGAUUUCAGGGUGAUUUUUGGGGUGAUUUCGGGGUGAUUUUUGGGGUGAUUUUGGGAUGAUUUCGGGCUGAUUUUGGGCUGAUUUUGGGCUGAUUUCAGGGUGAUUCCGGGGCGAUUUCAGGGUGAUUUUGGGGCGAUUUCGGAGUGAUUUCGGGCUGAUUUUGGGGUGAUUUCGGGAUAAUUUUGGGCUGAUUUCGGGCUGAUUUUUAGGGUGAUUUCGGGGUGAUUUUUGGGGUGAUUUUGGGAUGAUUUCAGGCUGAUUUUGGGGCUAUUUUGGGAUGAUUUCGGGAUGAUUUCGGGCUGAUUUCGGGGUCCCUCAGAUGGCCACGCUGUUCUCGAUGUUGGCCGGGUCCAGGUAGGGGCAUUUUGGGGAAUUUUGGGGAUAUUUCAGGGUGAUUUUUGGGGUGAUUUCGGGCUGAUUUCAGGGUGAUUUCGGGAUGAUUUCGGGCUGAUUUCGGGCUGAUUUUGGGCUGAUUUCGGGGUGAUUUCAGGCUGAUUUCGGGGUCCCUCAGAUGGCCACGCUGUUCUCGAUGUUGGCCGGGUCCAGGUAGUGGCAUUUUGGGAUAAUUUUGGGCUGAUUUCAGGGUGAUUUUUGGGGUGAUUUCGGGCUGAUUUCAGGGUGAUUUCAGGCUGAUUUCGGGGUGAUUUCAGGGCGGUUUCGGGGUCCCUCAGAUGGCCACGCUGUUCUCGAUGUUGGCCAAGUCCAGGUAGGGGCAUUUUGGGGAUAUUUUGGGGAUAUUUCGGGGUGACUCCGGGGCGAUUUCAGGGCGAUUUCGGGCU
rnacentral:lncRNA from 1 species